rnacentral:rRNA from 1 species
UACGUAGGGUGCAAGCGUUGUCCGGAAUUAUUGGGCGUAAAGAGCUCGUAGGCGGUCUGUCACGUCGGAUGUGAAAACUCGGGGCUCAACCCCGAGCCUGCAUACGAUACGGGCAGACUUGAGUUCGGCAGGGGAGACUGGAAUUCCUGGUGUAGCGGUGAAAUGCGCAGAUAUCAGGAGGAACACCGGUGGCGAAGGCGGGUCUCUGGGCCGAUACUGAUGCUGAGGAGCGAAAGCGUGGGGAGCGAACAGG